rnacentral:rRNA from 1 species
GACGAACGCUGGCGGCGUGCCUAAUACAUGCAAGUAGAACGCACAGUUUAUACCGUAGCUUGCUACACCAUAGACUGUGAGUUGCGAACGGGUGAGUAACGCGUAGGUAACCUGCCUGGUAGCGGGGGAUAACUAUUGGAAACGAUAGCUAAUACCGCAUAAUAUUAAUUAUUGCAUGAUAAUUAAUUGAAAGGUGCAAUUGCACCACUACCAGAUGGACCUGCGUUGUAUUAGCUAGUAGGUGAGGUAACGGCUCACCUAGGCGACGAUACAUAGCCGACCUGAGAGGGUGAUCGGCCACACUGGGACUGAGACACGGCCCAGACUCCUACGGGAGGCAGCAGUAGGGAAUCCUCGGCAAUGGACGAAAGUCUGACCGAGCAACGCCGCGUGAGUGAAGAAGGGUUUCGGAUCGUAAAGCUCUGUUGUAAGAGAAGAACGGGUGUGAGAGUGGAAAGUUCACACUGUGACGGUAGCUUAACAGAAAGGGACGGCUAACUACGUG